GCCGAGCUGAGUAGCGUUAGCUUGUGACCCAAGUGGGGGCAAUAACUUGAUGGGACAAGUACAUGGUUUCGCUUGGCUGGGCUUGUGUUGGCUUUACGUGGCCUGCCUACUCCAAGUUUAGAGUUGAAUUAUGGGUCUUGGGCUUAAGCUCUGGUCUCAUGGUUCCUAGACUGGAGGGCAAUGCGUGAGGCUGGUUUCACAGAGCAGCGAAUACCUCCGGCUCUUAACAGUGGAGGGAUAACGGGCCACUGCUUCUCAAGCCCGCAAUGGGCCUGGUGAUCCUGUUGUUUGAACCAUCAUUUUUUUU